rnacentral:lncRNA from 1 species
GCAAUAGAAAAAUGUCUCUCCUGAGCUUAAAAAGGAAUGGACCCAUCAAAAAACAUUCAUAUACUACAGUCCUUAUCUUUAGAGACUCUAAUUAAGCAAAAUUUACAGAAUAAAAGAGUAUUUUUUUUUAUAUUAUUCUUCCCUAUGGGGGUUAUGUGGAAACUUGUCUCCCGAAGACAAUAUGCGCAAAGACCGAAUUUGAAGAUGAGGCAAGUAAGCCUGUUGGGUGGUCUAGAUCUGUGUAGAGUCCCACUGCAGGCUCCCAGUGACAGAUGUGAGCACCACUGAAGCAGUCCCGAUUCCAUAUAGGAACUUACAGAUAAGCCCCCAGCGAUGGACCUUGAAACCACCAAUAUGAGGUGACUCCUUUAGGACCCUUUUACUCCAUGCAAGGUCAGGCAGUGAACGUAUUCUGACCCUUAUCCACAAAGGAAAUAAAAGAAUAUGUCCAAUCAAAAAUCUCUAUUUUGUCAGAGCACUGUUAGAUUGCAACUACAUUAUCUGGAAGCAUCAGGAUAACUCUUAUAUUUAAUUUUAUCAUUUUCAAUCAGAUUAAUUAAAAUUAAAGAUGAUUAUGAAUUAAAAAAAUUUCUCCAUCAUAAAAAUAUUGUUACAAAGCCUUUCAGACAUGAGAAAUU